GAGAAAUUUAAGCAGCAGUGAGCUGAGGCUGUGGAAGACAGGGAUCCUGACAUCUGUGAUACCUUGAAGUCUGCCUUGAAGAGGGAAGAAACAAAGACAAGAGCUUGGUGGAUAGAAUAGACAUCAGAGAUGAGAAACCAGGAGUUAUAACACUGUACAAUCCAACGUGUCUCCCAUAUGUGUGGAAGAAUGAGAAGCAAGAAAAACCAGUUUCAAUCUAUAUUGUGUCCAGUGGGCAGGGAGCAUAUUUGGCACUAGGCUUCCUGCUAGAGAUUUCAGAUAUUGCCAGGCUGAAACAGUUCAUGCCUCUGGUUGUUGGGACAUAAACAGACAACUUACCAAGAUUUCCUCCCAGAGACAAAGUGGCUUCUCUUUGGAGAAGAUGUUCUGCUCCCUGAGUGUGAUGUGGUGGAAGGGAUUGAAAUCCAAGCAUAUGGGCUGGGAAAUGGUCCACCAAGAAUUUGGGAUCCAAGGAAGGAAUAAGCUCUGCUGACAGAGUCAUCCCAUGCCAAGGACAAAA
rnacentral:lncRNA from 1 species